rnacentral:rRNA from 1 species
CGCCGCGUGAGGGAUGACGGCCUUUCGGGUUGUAAACCUCUUUUAGCAAGGAAGAAGCGAAAGUGACGGUACUUGCAGAAAAAGCGCCGGCUAACUACGUGCCAGCAGCCGCGGUAAUACGUAGGGCGCAAGCGUUAUCCGGAAUUAUUGGGCGUAAAGAGCUCGUAGGCGGUUUGUCGCGUCUGCUGUGAAAACUGGAGGCUCAACCUCCAGCCUGCAGUGGGUACGGGCAGACUAGAGUGCGGUAGGGGAGAUUGGAAAUCCUGGUGUAGCGGUGGAAUGCGCAGAUAUCAGGAGGAACACCGAUGGCGAAGGCAGAUCUCUGGGCCGUAACUGACGCUGAGGAGCGAAAGGGUGGGGAGCAAACAGGCUUAGAUACCCUGGUAGUCCACCCCGUAAACGUUGGGAACUAGUUGUGGGGACCAUUCCACGGUUUCCGUGACGCAGCUAACGCAUUAAGUUCCCCGCCUGGGGAGUACGGCCGCAAGGCUAAAACUCAAAGGAAUUGACGGGGACCCGCACAAGCGGCGGAGCAUGCGGAUUAAUUCGAUGCAACGCGAAGAACCUUACCAAGGCUUGACAUAUACGAGAACGCUGCAGAAAUGUAGAACUCUUUGGA